UCCUCGGUAGUAUAUCGGCUAGUACACCCGCCUGUCAUAGUACUCAUAAUCUGGGUUUGUGCACUUUACGCGGGAGAGCGGGGUUCGACUCCCCGCCGAGGAG
rnacentral:tRNA from 2 species